rnacentral:rRNA from 1 species
CAUGCAAGUCGAACGGCAGCACGAAAGAGCUUGCUCUUUUGGUGGCGUGUGGCGAACGGGUGAGUAAUGCAUCGGAACGUACCGAGUAAUGGGGGAUAACUAUCCGAAAGGAUAGCUAAUACCGCAUACGCAUUGAGAAGGAAAGUGGGGGCUCUUCGGACCUCACGUUAUUCGAGCGGCCGAUGUCUGAUUAGCUAGUUGGUGGGGUAAAGGCCUACCAAGGCGACGAUCAGUAGCGGGUCUGAGAGGAUGAUCCGCCACACUGGGACUGAGACACGGCCCAGACUCCUACGGGAGGCAGCAGUGGGGAAUUUUGGACAAUGGGCGCAAGCCUGAUCCAGCCAUGCCGCGUGUCUGAAGAAGGCCUUCGGGUUGUAAAGGACUUUUGUUAGGGAAGAAAAGGAUAGUGUUAAUACCAUUAUCUGCUGACGGUACCUAAGGAAUAAGCACCGGCUAACUACGUGCCAGCAGCCGCGGUAAUACGUAGGGUGCGAGCGUUAAUCGGAAUUACUGGGCGUAAAGCGGGCGCAGACGGUUUAUUAAGCAAGAUGUGAAAUCCCCGAGCUUAACUUGGGAACUGCGUUUUGAACUGGUAAGCUAGAGUAUGUCAGAGGGGGGUAGAAUUCCACGUGUAGCAGUGAAAUGCGUAGAGAUGUGGAGGAAUACCGAUGGCGAAGGCAGCCCCCUGGGAUAAUACUGACGUUCAUGCUCGAAAGCGUGGGUAGCAAACAGGAUUAGAUAUCCUGGUAGUCCACGCCCUAAACGAUGUCAAUUAGCUGUUGGGGCACUUGAUGCCUUAGUAGCGA